AUUGAUUGGUGCUUGCAUCAUGAUUUACAUUUGAGUGAGUGGCGAACUGGUGAGUAACACGUGGGAAACCUGCCCAGAAGCGGGGGAUAACACCUGGAAACAGAUGCUAAUACCGCAUAACAACUUGGACCGCAUGGUCCGAGCUUGAAAGAUGGCUUUGGCUAUCACUUUUGGAUGGUCCCGCGGCGUAUUAGCUAGAUGGUGGGGUAACGGCUCACCAUGGCAAUGAUACGUAGCCGACCUGAGAGGGUAAUCGGCCACAUUGGGACUGAGACACGGCCCAAACUCCUACGGGAGGCAGCAGUAGGGAAUCUUCCACAAUGGACGAAAGUCUGAUGGAGCAACGCCGCGUGAGUGAAGAAGGGUUUCGGCUCGUAAAACUCUGUUGUUAAAGAAGAACAUAUCUGAGAGUAACUGUUCAGGUAUUGACGGUAUUUAACCAGAAAGCCACGGCUAACUACGUGCCAGCAGCCGCGGUAAUACGUAGGUGGCAAGCGUUGUCCGGAUUUAUUGGGCGUAAAGCGAGCGCAGGCGGUUUUUUAAGUCUGAUGUGAAAGCCUUCGGCUCAACCGAAGAAGUGCAUCGGAAACUGGGAAACUUGAGUGCAGAAGAGGACAGUGGAACUCCAUGUGUAGCGGUGAAAUGCGUAGAUAUAUGGAAGAACACCAGUGGCGAAGGCGGCUGUCUGGUCUGUAACUGACGCUGAGG
rnacentral:rRNA from 2 species